CGGUGGGGCUGGUGGACCACCCUGGGUCCUUCGGUGUUGGUGGUGUCCCGUCCACUGAGCCACUCUCACUUAAACACAAACAGACCAGACUUUAUCUACUCCCUGCCAUUAAAGGAGGGAUUCCAGAUGUUCCCAAAAGUCAAAACACAACAGGGUGGGUGGAAGGGGGCCUGGACGGGGAUUCACGGUCCGCCCAUCAGGACCAUCCAGGGUGGCAGCCACUGGAUGAGUGACGCUCGAGCAGGGUCGGGUGGCGGCCACUGGACCGGGACUGGAGCCUGCAACUGCUGUGGCACAGGGACUGGAGCAUGCAACUGCCGCGGUGCAGGGACAGGAGCCUGCAGCUGCCGCGGCGUAGCCUGUGGCUACCGAAGAGCAGGCACUUGGUCAGCAUUUGCAUUUUCAGCUUGACGCAAUAGAGUUUGGGGAGGACAGGAAAACAAGAGGGGCAGAAUGUCCAGAAACUACAGCAGGUGAACUAGGAAACAAUGGUGGUACAAGGUGAAGUGAAGAAUUUUGAACGGAACAAGGUGACUUGGGGGAGGUGUGGAAUGAGGACGUGAAAAGAUGGGCAUGGAACAAGGAAAUGACAGGAUGGGAGUGGAACGAUUGGUAGAAAACGGGUAAAAAAAAAAUCACGUGGCUUUGAAACAGGGGCAGAAUAACGUGACAACGAAACUUGACCUUUACUUGGGUGCCUCUGUUGGCCACCAUGUGUAGGUCCUGGAUAGAUGGCCAAAUGGGUGCCCAAGUAAAGGUCAGAAGGAAGUAACUGGCAUGGACUCAGGGGGCUCAGUAAAUGAAAAACUCAACAAAAAACGAGUGAGACUGGAAAAACUAUAAAGUACAGAAGCAGGAAAAUUGAAAUCUGAGUCGAAAUCUGAAAGAAGGUUAACUAAAAUGGGGCCAUCUUCAUAAACAGGAAAAUCUAGAUUUAAAAAAAAACAGGUGAAGGGGAAAUGUUAGGGCUAUGUGAAUAACUGGGACAACUGGAGGACACUGGUGAAAGGGACAUAGAGGGAAAAUAAAGAUGGGGCUUACAGGUUGAGGAUGGGCUUGGUCGGCAGGCUGAGAGAGAUUGCAGGCAGACUUGCAUCGUGCUGGAGGAUGUGCUUCCCGUUGUGUCCUUCUUUGGUUGGUACAUUCUGUCAGUGUUGGGUAGUGAUGGGUCUGGUAACAUCAAUGCAUCAGGGCAUGUGCCCAGCUCAUAGGAGAAAAACCCGUGCCAGUGCACAUAUCACUUUAAGAAAGACCAAUGCAGCCGCUGUAUGGAUCGUAUAUGUCACCGCAUACUGCAUGACAGCUCGCCAAACUGUGUUCAUAAGAAAGCGCCUCUGUCAACUGGAUGCGUCUCACAGAUCUUUUGAAGCACAAUUCAUCCCCUCAAGCAAUUGUGAUACAGAGCCCAAAAGAAAAAUAACGUUUUCCGCCGUGUGGAACAAUUUUGGUCUCAAUCAUGGUCCCCAAUAGUAACGGCAAAUAAGGUAUUUGUUUUCAUUUCCGUGUUUCAUCCUUUUCCUCAUAGCUGUCAUGUCAAUACCCAUCCUGCAGUUUUUCUGUUGGAGCCUGGGUGGCGCUUUGCGCCCUCUCGCUUUCUCUCUGCCCUCCCCUCUCUCUUUCCAGUAAAUUCCUCACCUGUGCACCUGUCACCAAUCAGCCCUCGUUACCUCCUGCAUAAAAGCCUGCCAGAUCCCAGAAACUCUUGUAAGAGUUUUGCAGACUCCAUAGCGUGUUCCCUCUGUCUUCCUUGCACCCACGCUGCCAAGCCACCCACCUGCCCUCGUCACCGCCUCCCACGCAUUCCCUGCCUCAACAACCUGCCAGUGCACCUCAAGCACCAUCUACAUUUCCCUUUUUUUCAAUAAACUGUUCAUCACAA